rnacentral:rRNA from 1 species
UACGGAGGGUGCAAGCGUUAUCCGGAUUCACUGGGCUUAAAGGGUGCGUAGGUGGGCCUGUAAGUCAGCGGUGAAAUCUCCGGGCUUAACCCGGAAACUGCCAUUGAUACUAUAGGUCUUGAAUUAUCUGGAGGUAAGCGGAAUAUGUCAUGUAGCGGUGAAAUGCUUAGAUAUGACAUAGAACACCAAUUGCGAAGGCAGCUUACUGCGGAUAUAUUGACACUGAGGCACGAAAGCGUGGGGAUCAAACAGG